GGCAACUCUAAUACAGAUGCCAUACUCCAUUCAUUAAUCAAUCCCUGAACAGAUUAGCAUGGCCCCUGCACAAGGAUGACAUGCACAAAUCGAGAAAUGGUCCAAAUUCAA
rnacentral:snRNA from 1 species